GGUGGCUUAGUGGUAGAGUGCUUGCCUUUAAUGCAUGAAACCUGGGUUCAAUUCCUCAGUACCA
rnacentral:tRNA from 1 species